UCCAGACUCCUACGGGAGGCAGCAGUGGGGAAUAUUGGGCAAUGGGCGCAAGCCUGACCCAGCAACGCCGCGUGAAGGAAGAAGGCUUUCGGGUUGUAAACUUCUUUUCUCAGGGACGAAGCAAGUGACGGUACCUGAGGAAUAAGCCACGGCUAACUACGUGCCAGCAGCCGCGGUAAUACGUAGGUGGCAAGCGUUAUCCGGAUUUACUGGGUGUAAAGGGCGUGUAGGCGGGAAAGCAUGUCUGAUGUGAAAACCAGGGGCUCAACCUGUGGCCUGCAUUUGAAACUGUUUGUCUUGAGUACUGGAGAGGCAGACGGAAUUCCUAGUGUAGCGGUGAAAUGCGUAGAUAUUAGGAGGAACACCAGUGGCGAAGGCGGUCUGCUGGACAGCAACUGACGCUGAGGCGCGAAAGCGUGGGGAGCAAACAGGAUUAGAUACCCCAGUA
rnacentral:rRNA from 1 species